AGAGUUUGAUCCUGGCUCAGGACGAACGCGGGCGGCGUGCUUAACACAUGCAAGUCGAGCGGUUCUUAAGCUGUAGUUUACUAUAGCUUAAGAAUAGCGGCGAACGGGUGAGUAACACGUGGGCAACCUGUCCGAAAGAUCGGGAUAACAGUCCGAAAGGGCUGCUAAUACCGAAUAUGCUUACCGGGUCGCAUGAGCCGGUAAGGAAAGGUAGGCAACUUCUGCUUUCGGGUGGGCCCGCGUCCCAUUAGCUAGUUGGUAGGGUAACGGCCUACCAAGGCAACGAUGGGUAGCUGGUCUGAGAGGAUGGUCAGCCACACUGGGACUGAGACACGGCCCAGACUCCUACGGGAGGCAGCAGUGGGGAAUCUUGCGCAAUGGGCGAAAGCCUGACGCAGCGACGCCGCGUGAGCGAUGAAGGCCUACGGGUUGUAAAGCUCUGUCAGAGGGGACGAUAAUGACGGUACCCUCAGAGGAAGCCCCGGCUAACUACGUGCCAGCAGCCGCGGUAAUACAUAGGGGGCGAGCGUUAUCCGGAAUUAUUGGGCGUAAAGCGUGCGUAGGUGGUCAGUUAAGUCUGGCGUGAAAUUCCCUGGCUUAACCAGGGGGGGUCGUUGGAAACUGGCUGACUUGAAUCCAGAAGGGGUAAGUGGAAUUCCAUGUGUAGCGGUAAAAUGCAUAGAGAUAUGGAGGAACACCAGUGGCGAAGGCGGCUUACUGGUCUGGAAUUGACACUGAGGCACGAAAGCGUGGGUAGCAAACAGGAUUAGAUACCCUGGUAGUCCACGCCGUAAACGAUGAGCACUAAGUGUCGGACGAAAGUUCGGUGCUGUAGUUAACGCAUUAAGUGCUCCGCCUGGGGAGUACGGUCGCAAGACUGAAACUCAAAUGAAAUUGACGG
rnacentral:rRNA from 1 species